rnacentral:rRNA from 1 species
AGUACGAGAGGACCGUGUUGGACGAACCGCUGGUUUUUCGGUUAUGCCGCCAGGCGUAUUGCCGAGUAGCUACGUUCGGUUGAGAUAAGUGCUGAAAGCAUCUAAGUACGAAGCUUGCCUCAAGAUUAGAUCUCAUUAUAAGGGUGGUUAUAGACGAUGACCUUGAUAGGCUACAGGUGUAAAGGCGGUGACGUCAUAGCCGAGUAGUACUAAUUGCCCGAAAGUUUUUGC